rnacentral:tRNA from 1 species
CAAGGCGUAGCUAUAAACCACAAAGCAUUCAGCUUACACCUGAAGAUGCCCUAAGACGGGGUCGCCUUGA